GAUUAUAAAUCUUGUUAGUAAACUAAGGGGAUUCUAAAAAUGUUUGUAAGUGAAAAAUAAUUUUUAAUAAUAGAUAGGUAGUUUUUAAUGAAAAAAAUUUAUAACUAUAAUUUAAAAGUACUGUAAAGGAAAGAGAAUAAGUUAAAAGAGGAAAAGAAUAAAUUAAAUUUUGUACCUUGUGUAUAAGGGAAAAUUUAUAUAAUUAAAAUAAUAUUAAGGUCUCGAAAUAAAAAUAGUUAAUUUUGUAAGAGAGUUUUUAUAGGAUAAAAAUUUUGAAUGUAAAAUUAAAGGUGAAAUGUUAAACGAGUUUUGUUAUAUCUAGUUUUUUAAAAAAAAAUUUAAUUUGGUUUAUACGUAUAUAAUAGUAUAAAAGGGUAAAAUAGAAAGGAUAAGCUUUUUAUUAAUGUAAAUGAAACAGAAAGAUAAAUUAUGAAUGUGAUCUAAGCUUAAAAGUAGCUAGGUUUAUAAAGUGUUUUAACUAAAUUUUAGAGGAAAAAAGAUUUAUUACUUUUCUUUAAUAUUAAAAAUUUAUUUAGAAUAGAAAAUAAUAAGGUAAAAUGAUUUUAUUAGUAAAGAAGUAUAAUUGUAAAUUUAUAAAAAGAUAUAAGAUAAGUCAAAAAUAAUUAAGUUUAAAGGGUGUAUAAAAGGAAUUCAGUAAAGUAUUUUCUUGCCUGUUUAUCAAAAACAUGUCUAUUUGAAGUUAUAAAAAGUCUAGCCUGCCCGCUGAUUUAAUAAAAUAGGUUCAAGGGCCGCGGUAUUAUGACCGUGCAAAGGUAGCAUAAUCAUUAGGUUUUUAAAUGAGAUCUUGUAUGAAUGGUUGGACAAAGGAGAAACUGUCUUUUAAAUAUUGCUUAAAUUUUACUUUUAAGUGAGAAGGCUUAAAUAUUUUAGAGGGACGAUAAGACCCUAUAAAGCUUUACAUUGAAAUUAAAUUUAAUUAAAUUUUAUAAUAAAAAUUUUAUUUAGUUAUUUGUUUUGUUGGGGAGACAAAAGUAAAAGUUAUAUUAACUGCUUAAUAAAUAAACAUUUAUUAGUGUGUUGGAGUUUAUAGAUCCUGUGUAGUAUAGACUAAGAGAUUAAGUUACUUUAGGGAUAACAGUGUUAUGUUUUUUGAGAGUUCAUAUCGAGAAAAAAGUUUGCAACCUCGAUGUUGAAUUAAAAAUGUCUAUAUAAUGUAGUUGUUAUAUAAGAAGGUCUGUUCGACCUUUAAUUUUU
rnacentral:rRNA from 1 species